UUUUUUUUUUUGUUUGCUGUCGCUUAUUAAUCGCAAAAUGGUUGAGAAGGGGUUUUUUUAAUACAAUGCAAAGUAAUCCAUCAGCUGCCCUGUAGUAAUUGCAUGUACGUGUGCUUUCACUUUAUUGAAUAUCAUGCAAAACAUUACUCUCUUGCUUUUCGUCAGCUGUUGAGCCGAUGUUAAAGGCCGUCAUAGCCUUGGUUGGGUUAAAUGAUAAAAUUUUAUAAAAGCUUUUUUCAUACCACAAACACCGGGCAAUAAAAAAGAAUUGCGUUUAGAGUAGAAGCGGUAGAAAAGUGUAUAGACGAGGGGAACUUGAUGAUGAAUUUUAACUGCUGUGCUACACAGAAUAAACUUAUACACGAAAGUCCAUUGACUUUUGGCAUUGAUGAACGCCGGUAAGAACCGACAUGUACUGUACUGUAGAGGUAAUUGUGUUAACACGAAAAUUGCUUAUGUAUUGGAGUUUAUUUGGGUUUAUCAAACUUUAGUAAACAUGUUUUUUUUUCGAUUUUUUUCUUGGUUUUUUUUGUUUUUUUAUCAAAAUUCACCAACUGUCUCUCAAAUUGACUGAAAAUCUUUAAAAAUGAUUGCGCAGAGCCCUUCACAUAUAUUUUAUGACGACAGCCAGUAGAGAUUUUCAAGUAGUCAAGACGUCAAUGCUUUAGAUAACGUAUGUCCCAGUAUGCAAAAAAUUUGCUGUUAAAUGCGGUUACACUUAUACUACGAUUCGAAUAUGGCCCCAAAAAACGAAAAAAAUUAUCAGAUUGCUAGCCUUGGUUUCAUUAUCUUGUGGAAUUCGCUUUAGAGUUUUUACUUGUUGUAGAUUAAAUCAAAAUUUCCCCACGAUAUAUAAAACGAAUAUAAAACGUGUUUAUAACACAAUAGACAUCAAGACGUAUUGUAAAAGAUAUUUAUGGGUCAUAAUAACGUUUACUACAUCGUAUCAAUUUGUUUGUUAAAUGGUGUUAAAAAUGGACAAUACCUCAAACAAUGACAAAUGGGAAAUUUUGUUUACACCCAGCAAUGCUGUUUCUUAUACUCCUUGAUAACUGUCCGAUAAUCAGUUCACUUUCUUCUUUUUUUUUUUUUAUAAGAAACUAUGAAAGAAAGAAUCCAGCAGUAAUAAAAUUACAAUCGAAUUGAGCCGAAUUUUGGAUAUCUUUUAGUGCAGUAAUCAGAAACGAUUCAAUUGAUAGAAGGAGAUCGAUCGAGAUGAUCGCAUCGGAAUUUGUGUUAAAUUCUUUUCAUUCUAUGAUAGUUUAUACAGUAAGCAAAGCUUUAGUUUUUCCUUGCUUUAAUUGUUCGCAACCGCGAGGAAAGCGAGAUACGAACGGAUGGAUGAAUACAACGUGGUAAGUGGAACCAAAAUGGUGCGGUCUUUUCGACCGAGAACAAAACCUUGCCGCUUCGGAUAUACCUUGCGUUUUUAUUAAUUCAGCUUUUCAGUUUGCGUUAUUAAGAUUUCGAGGGUUAGAUGCAUGCGCCGAUGUCGACUCUUGCCGCUGCUCUAAGCGUUUGCGCUCUGACAUCAAGCAAACACGACUGAAUCGAAAAACAGGAUCUAUUAAACGGGUAAACGGGUUGCGUCGAUUCAAAUUGCGGAUAAAUCUCUAUACUCUUCGGUGUAUUAUCUUAAGCAAAAAUAUACAUACGUAUAUAAAGAGAUCGACUCGUAACCUCGAACAGUAUAGAAAUAUAUUAACACGUGGACGAGUAGAUGGAC